UACGAAGGGGGCUAGCGUUGCUCGGAAUCACUGGGCGUAAAGGGUGCGUAGGCGGGUCUUAAGUCAGGGGUGAAAUCCUGGAGCUCAACUCCAGAACUGCCUCGAUACUGGGAGUCUUGAGUCCGGGAGAGGUGAGUGGAACUGCGAGUGUAGAGGUAAAAUUCGUAGAUAUUCGCAAGAACACCAGUGGCGAAGGCGGCUCACUGGCCCGGUACUGACGCUGAG
rnacentral:rRNA from 1 species